rnacentral:rRNA from 1 species
UAUUGCACAAUUGAGGAAACUCUGAUGCAGUGACACCGCGUAUAGGAAGAAGGUUUUCGGAUNGUAAACUAUUUUAGACAGGGAANNAANNNGNCAGUACCUGUAGAAUAAGCUCCGGCUAACUACGUGCNNNCNGCCGCGGUAAUACGUAGGGAGCAAGCGUUAUCCGGAAUUAUUGGGUGUAAAGGGUGCGUAGACGGGACAGCAAGUUAGUUGUGAAAGCCCUCGGCUUAACUGAGGAACUGCAACUAAAACUAUUGUUCUUGAGUGCAGGAGAGGAAAGCGGAAUUCCUAGUGUAGCGGUGAAAUGCGUAGAUAUUAGGAGGAACACCAGUGGCGAAGGCGGCUUUCUGGACUGUAACUGACGUUGAGGCACGAAAGUGUGGGGAGCAAACAGG